rnacentral:rRNA from 1 species
UACGUAGGUGGCGAGCGUUGUCCGGAUUUACUGGGCGUAAAGAGCGCGCAGGCGGCUGGUCAAGUCCGAUGUGAAAGCUCCCGGCUUAACUGGGAAAUUGCAUCGGAAACUGAUCGGCUGGAAGGUGGGAGAGGGUAGCGGAAUUCCCGGUGUAGUGGUGAAAUGCGUAGAUAUCGGGAGGAACACCAGUGGCGAACGCGGCUACCUGGCCCAUUCUUGACGCUGAGGCGCGAAAGCUAGGGGAGCAAACGGG